UACGUAGGGGGCAAGCGUUGUCCGGAUUUACUGGGCGUAAAGCGCGCGUAGGCGGAAGCUCAAGUCUGGCCUGAAAGCCCCGGCUCAACCGGGGAGUGGGGCUGGAAACUGGGUUUCUUGAGGGCGAUAGAAGGAGUGUGGAAUUCCUGGUGUAGCGGUGAAAUGCGUAGAGAUCAGGAGGAACACCCGUGGCGAAGGCGGCACUCUGGGUCGGCCCUGACGCUGGAGGCGACGAAAGCGUUGGGGAGCGAACGGG
rnacentral:rRNA from 1 species